rnacentral:rRNA from 1 species
CGGCUCAGUAACACGUGGAUAACCUACCCUUGAGACGGGGAUAAACCCGGGAAACUGGGUAUAAUACCCGAUAGAUCUCGACUGCUGGAAUGCAUCGAGCUUGAAAGCUCCGGCGCUCAAGGAUGGGUCUGCGGCCUAUCAGGUAGUAGUGGGUGUAGCGUACCUACUAGCCUACGACGGGUACGGGUUGUGAGAGCAAGAGCCCGGAGAUGGAUUCUGAGACACGAAUCCAGGCCCUACGGGGUGCAGCAGGCGCGAAAACUUUACAAUGCUGGAAACAGCGAUAAGGGGACCUCGAGUGCCAGGUUACAAAUCUGGCUGUCGUGAUGCCUAAAAAGCAUUGCAUAGUAAGGGCCGGGCAAGACCGGUGCCAGCCGCCGCGGUAACACCGGCGGCUCGAGUGGUAACCGUUAUUAUUGGGUCUAAAGGGUCUGUAGCCGGCCGGAUAAGUCUCUUGGGAAAUCUGGCAGCUUAACUGUCAGGCUUUCAGGAGAUACUGUCUGGCUCGAGGCCGGGAGGGGUGAGAGGUACUUCAGGGGUAGGGGUGAAAUCUUGUAAUCCUUGAAGGACCACCAGUGGCGAAGGCGUCUCACCAGAACGGACCUGACGGCAAGGGACGAAAGCUAGGGGCACGAACCGGAUUAGAUACCCGGGUAGUCCUAGCCGUAAACGAUACUCGCUAGGUGUCGGC